CUUUCCUUACCUGCGCCUUUUGUGUUAUGGAGAGGGGUCAGGUCACUGUAUUCUUGGAACGCGAACUGACGUUUACAAAAUAAUAUAAUGAAACUGAAAGUACAUAGAAUCUAUUAAUCUUUUUAUUUAAAGAAGAUUGAUUUUUACUGAGCCUACGUACUUCAUAUAGAUCUACAUUUUUGAUUUGUCAGGACUGUGCAGAGUGGAAGCAAGGUGUUUGCGGACCAUGGUGGAAAAUGCAGGGCAAAGAGUGGAAAAGCUAGAGGCGAGACAGGGUGUGGUCAACGAUGGUGAGAAUGACGUGUCGGCUGGAACCACAUUUGCUAGGCUGUCACAGGCUGUCGAUGCUUUAGAUGUGAAAGUCAAAAACUUGCAGGUCGGAGUUGAUCGUAGUACAUGUACAACCUAAGAUCUAGUUGGGUUUUUUUCUGACUCGAGCAGAAAUGGCAUCUAGAAUCACAGCGAAUAUGAGAGAGUUGACCAGACGGAAAAUCAUAAUCACAAAAAGUGGGCUCAAAACAAUGUAGGCCUACAGUACGGCGCCCUGUUUUAUGUAGUAUGCAGAACAGCACAAGGGAAGAUGACACUGACGACAUUUUAAUAUUUACGUGUGAAGCAAACACAGUAAAUUGAUCAAAUUAGAUCUAAAUAAAUACACAAAAGGCUAGCAUCUGCGUUUGUCGCGGCCGCGAUUUUUUUGCAUAAAAAAAAAGACAAAACAAUAAAGCUACUUCACAACAUGACAUGUGUUUUGAUAAGUUUUAAGAUGUUCAUGCGUAUCUAUUUUCAUGCAGAGAAUAUAAGUACAUUACGUUACAUACUAUUUA
rnacentral:misc_RNA from 1 species